rnacentral:misc_RNA from 1 species
UCACCCCUCAAGCCCCGUGCUUGGUGUUGGACGGGUUGGUCGGGGCUUCCCUCGACCCCUCCUAAAGACAAUGACGGCGGCCUGUGGUUCCCCCGGUACACUGAGCUUCUUAACCGAGCACGUACCGGACGAGGGCGCCCAGGCCACGGUCCUCUCCUCUCAGCAGGAAACUUCUCAA